rnacentral:misc_RNA from 1 species
UACGUAGGUGGCAAGCGUUGUCCGGAAUUAUUGGGCGUAAAGCGCGCGCAGGCGGUCUUUUAAGCCUGAUGUGAAAGCGCCCGGCUCAACCGGGGAGGGUCAUUGGAAACUGGGAGACUUGAGUACAGAAGAGGAGAGUGGAAUUCCACGUGUAGCGGUGAAAUGCGUAGAUAUGUGGGGAAAUACCAGUGGCGAAGGCGACUCGCUGGUCUGUAACUGACGCUGAGGCGCGAAAGCGUGGGGAGCAAACAGG